UACGGAGGGUGCGAGCGUUAAUCGGAAUUACUGGGCGUAAAGCGCACGCAGGCGGGCAAUUAAGUCAGAUGUGAAAGCCCCGAGCUUAACCUGGGAAUUGCAUUUGAAACUGGGUGGCUAGAGUCCUGUAGGGGGGGGUAGAAUUCCAUGUGUAGCGGUGAAAUGCGUAGAGAUGUGGAGGAAUACCGGUGGCGAAGGCGGCCCCCUGGACAUGGACUGACGCUCAUGUGCGAAAGCGUGGGGAGCAAACAGG
rnacentral:rRNA from 1 species